AUUGAACGCUGGCGGCAUGCCUUACACAUGCAAGUCGAACGGCAGCACGGGUGCUUGCACCUGGUGGCGAGUGGCGAACGGGUGAGUAAUACAUCGGAACAUGUCCUGUAGUGGGGGAUAGCCCGGCGAAAGCCGGAUUAAUACCGCAUACGAUCUACGGAUGAAAGCGGGGGACCUUCGGGCCUCGCGCUAUAGGGUUGGCCGAUGGCUGAUUAGCUAGUUGGUGGGGUAAAGGCCUACCAAGGCGACGAUCAGUAGCUGGUCUGAGAGGACGACCAGCCACACUGGGACUGAGACACGGCCCAGACUCCUACGGGAGGCAGCAGUGGGGAAUUUUGGACAAUGGGCGAAAGCCUGAUCCAGCAAUGCCGCGUGUGUGAAGAAGGCCUUCGGGUUGUAAGGCACUUUUGUCCGGAAAGAAAUCCUUGGCCCUAAUACGGUCGGGGGAUGACGGUACCGGAAGAAUAAGCACCGGCUAACUACGU
rnacentral:rRNA from 1 species